rnacentral:snRNA from 1 species
CAGUUCAAGAAAGCUGUG